CAGCAUAACUUGUAAGACUUCGCGAAUAAAAUGCCUCUAAACACAACGCCGCCGUGUAUUAAACAGUGUUGGAAUCUAAUGGAAAAUGUCGGGUAAAUCUCUUAAAGACGUAUAUUAUAAUAUGAAACUCUUGUAUUUUCGGUGCUGCUCAUUUUUAACGUCCGUUUCAAAACAAAUGGCACGACGUGUGUUCCCGCUUGGUUUACUAUACAUAAUCGAUUAAGACGGGACAGUAAUAAACGAGAGACUUUCGUAUAGCUGCAAUUAUUUUUUAUAACUCUGAGACGCAGAACUAAUAAAUGUUCCCUGUCGUCGAUAGGAAAGGCGAAAUUAUUACAAAAUCGAAUAUCAUCGCUCUAGUGGACAUCGUUUUAACCGAGUUAAACAAUUCGUAUAAAACUAUUUCGAACGAAAUUCCGUUUGUUAUACGAUUACGCGCUAGCAAUUUAGAUGCACUGUAAUAAUUAUUAU